UUCUACUACAGUAGCCAGCUAGCUCUGCAGACCCUGUUCUACUUCUACUUCAGAAGUGAAAUACAAUGUAUCAAGUGUAUGAGUCUGUCCUCAUUGCACGUCUGUUAUUUGAUAUCGCACCUCAAAUGAUGAGCUGGUGGACUGAGACCAGAUGGGGGGUGAAAUAGGUGGUAACAUGACAGUGUGUUAUCAGAGGACUGAGACCAGAUGGGGGGUGUAAUAGGUGGUGACAUGACAGUGUGUUAUCAGAGGACUGAGACCAGAUGGGGGGCUGUAAUAGGUGGUGACAUGACAGUGUGUUAUCAGAGGACUGAGACCAGAUGGGGGGGUGUAAUAGGUGGUGACAUGACAGUGUGUUAUCAGAGGACUGAGACCAGAUGGGGGGUGUAAUAGGUGGUGACAUGAGGGUGGGUAUAAUUUGUGGAACGUUCCAACAGGAAUCUGUUACAAAAACUCUGUAAAUAUCAAGGUUGCCAACAAACAACAUCAAACAAAGUCGUAUAACGGUAGAAUGAGAUACCGGGUAGAGAGUGAACAAUGUAAUAACGUUUUUCAACCACCACGUUUAUUCUGAAAAAUGUCUCUCUUCGUUCUGGUAGCCUCCACCAUUCCUCGUUCGUUGGUUUAGUUAUUAUUUCCGGUGUUCCUGCAUUCGCCAGGUGAACUCUGUUGCGCCUCAAUUAGGGAAUCGCUAUGGUUGAAAUGUAACUAAUGACUGCCAGCCCCAGUAUUUUAUUAGCUAGGUGGCUUGGACACAAUUGUUACCGAUGAUACUGUAUACACCAGCCUACUCGUACUACAGAAACAUACAUUGUAUUUUGCCAAGUUCUGUCUGUGUUAAUCCUGUUUCCCAAAUAUAUCAGC
rnacentral:lncRNA from 1 species